CGUUUGCCUCUGCUGUUUCCUUGUUCCCUGCAGGUUCUCAGCUUCCAGGAACACGGAUGUAGCUGCUGGGCAAUCAAAGGAAAGCAGUGUUGGCGAUUGGGCUGUUUCUCAGAGAGGAAAGGGGGAGAGCUGCAAUCACAUCUGUUGUCAUCGCAAUGGGUCUGAUGACAGCUCAUCAGGCUGAGAAUCACGGAGGGUGGAAAUUACAUGGAAGCAAAGAAACAAAAAAAUAGGAGACAGCUGCUGCUGACCCACAUAGCUGCCCUCCACUGCCCAUAGCCCCAAGGUGGGUGAUGGACUGUAGAAUAUGGAGCCUAAUGACCAAUGCAAAAACUCAUGCCCCAGCAACUGCCACUGGCAAAGAAGAGGGCUGCCGUCUCUCUCCCACCUUCCCAAUCCUGCAUGUGUGCUUGACCAGACUGCAUCCAGAACCCUGCAGGCCAGGGACAUUAUACCACGCAGAUUAUGGUUGUCAAUCUUGAAGACUGCAAUCUUUAUGAAGGCAGGAACUAGAUUUACUAAAAUCAACACUAGGACCUCAAAGCAGAGCACUGAUAUAUACAAAAUUUCCUAUAGCCAAUUAGUUAUGGGAUGAAGAUGUUUGUGGCAAAAAUGCUUCUGGCAAAGAUGCUGCUGUGAAAAUACUGGACAUGCCCUGAGAUACCUUCCAUCACUGACACUUUAUGGCUGGAAUAUUGUGAAGGAGAAUAAAAUGACAUGGGAACCUCUCUGUUGGAAAGUCCAAUGUGGUGAAGAACAGAGACCUCCUAAAUGAGGAACUGAGGCCUCUACCAGCAAGUAGAGAAUGAGUGAGUGAUCUUGGGAAUGGAUCCUCCAGCCCAGGUCAGACCUUCAGAUGACAGCAGCCUGAGUCGACAUCUCGACGGCAACAUCCUGAGAGACCCCUGAGCUAAAGGACCACCCAGUGAAGCUGCUUCCAGAUUCCCGACUCAGAAAUUGUGUGAGAUAAUAAACGUUUGUUGUUUUAAA